rnacentral:lncRNA from 1 species
AAGCUGGGGAAGGCCACUCAUGUCCCCAGUGAUCCUGACCAGCCUUCCCUUCCCCAUCCUCACCACCCGCAGCCCUCCAUAGUUUGUCUCCCAUGCUUAUUCCCUGAGUACCUAUUAAACAUCUCGGAGGAGCCACACCUGCGUGGACCAACCUCUUUCCUUCUUCCCUACUGCCACCGCAGCCCCUCACAGCCUCUGCACCUUCCUUCUUCUUCCUUGCUGCCAGAGGGCACAUUAUCAAA